rnacentral:lncRNA from 10 species
UUUUCGAGGUAGGAGUCGACUCCUGUGAGGUAUGGUGCUGGGUGCAGAUGCAGUGUGGCUCUGGAUAGCACCUUAUGGACAGUUGUGUCCCCAAGGAAGGAUGAGAAUAGCUACUGAAGUAAGUUGAAAAUUCCCUCUCAAAAAGGUUUAAAGCCAUUGGAUGUGCCACAAUGAUGACAGUUUAUUUGCUACUCUUGAGUGCUAGAAUGAUGAGGAUCUUAACCACCAUUAUCUUAACUGAGGCACCCAAAAUGGUGAGUUGGGGAACAUAGAGAGUACACCUAAGUUCACAUGAAGUUGUUUCUUCCCAGGUCCUAAAGAGCAAGCCUAACUCAAGCCAUUGGCACACAGGCAUUAGACAGAAAGCUGGAAGUUGAAAUGGUGGAGUCCAACUUGCCUGGACCAGCUUAAUGGUUCUGCUCCUGGUAACGUUUUUAUCCAUGGAUGACUUGCUUGGGUAAGGACAUGAAGACAGUUCCUGUCAUACCUUUUAAAGGUACAUGUUUUAUUGAUGUUAACGUUAAUUGAUUGAGCUACUGUUAGUGAUGAUUUUAAAAUUAAAGCAGAUGGGAAUCUCUCUGAGAAAGAAAAUGGAGAUUAAUCUUAAACUGAAACAGUAGUUGGGAAAUCUUUUAGAAAUCCACCUAUUACUACCUAUUGGUAAAGGAGAUUAAAUUUCUACAGGUAUGGAGAGUCGGCUUGACUACACUGUGUGGAGCAAGUUUUAAAGAAGCAAAGGUAUAGCAGUUCCAAGUAUUUUUUUUUUUUUUUUAGACAAGAGUCUAGCUCUUGCCCAGAA